rnacentral:rRNA from 1 species
UACGUAGGGUGCGAGCGUUGUCCGGAAUUAUUGGGCGUAAAGAGCUUGUAGGCGGUUUGUCGCGUCUGCUGUGAAAAUCCGGGGCUCAACCCCGGACUUGCAGUGGGUACGGGCAGACUAGAGUGUGGUAGGGGAGACUGGAAUUCCUGGUGUAGCGGUGAAAUGCGCAGAUAUCAGGAGGAACACCGGUGGCGAAGGCGGUUCUCUGGGCAUUAACUGACGCUGAGGAGCGAAAGCAUGGGGAGCGAACAGG